rnacentral:hammerhead_ribozyme from 1 species
GAACUGCUGAAGAGUCAAAAAUAGGACGAAACAGCUGUCCAGUGC